GUCGAACGGCAGCACAGAGGAGCUUGCUCCUUGGGUGGCGAGUGGCGGACGGGUGAGGAAUACAUCGGAAUCUACUCUGUCGUGGGGGAUAACGUAGGGAAACUUACGCUAAUACCGCAUACGACCUACGGGUGAAAGCAGGGGAUCUUCGGACCUUGCGCGAUUGAAUGAGCCGAUGUCGGAUUAGCUAGUUGGCGGGGUAAAGGCCCACCAAGGCGACGAUCCGUAGCUGGUCUGAGAGGAUGAUCAGCCACACUGGAACUGAGACACGGUCCAGACUCCUACGGGAGGCAGCAGUGGGGAAUAUUGGACAAUGGGCGCAAGCCUGAUCCAGCCAUACCGCGUGGGUGAAGAAGGCCUUCGGGUUGUAAAGCCCUUUUGUUGGGAAAGAAAUCCAGCCGGCUAAUACCUGGUUGGGAUGACGGUACCCAAAGAAUAAGCACCGGCUAACUUCGUGCCAGCAGCCGCGGUAAUACGAAGGGUGCAAGCGUUACUCGGAAUUACUGGGCGUAAAGCGUGCGUAGGUGGUCGUUUAAGUCCGUUGUGAAAGCCCUGGGCUCAACCUGGGAACUGCAGUGGAUACUGGGCGACUAGAGUGUGGUAGAGGGUAGCGGAAUUCCUGGUGUAGCAGUGAAAUGCGUAGAGAUCAGGAGGAACAUCCAUGGCGAAGGCAGCUACCUGGACCAACACUGACACUGAGGCACGAAAGCGUG
rnacentral:rRNA from 1 species